CGAGUGAAGCGGGAAAAGCUCAAAUUUAAAAUCUGGUGGUCCUUGGCCAUCCGAGUUGUAAUCUAGAGAAGUGUUACCCGCGUUGGACCGUGUACAAGUCUCCUGGAAUGGAGCGUCAUAGAGGGUGAGAAUCCCGUCUUUGACACGGACUACCAAGGCUUUGUGGUGCGCUCUCAACGAGUCGAGUUGUUUGGGAAUGCAGCUCAAAAUGGGUGGUAAAUUCCAUCUAAAGCUAAAUACAGGCGAGAGACCGAUAGCGAACAAGUACCGUGAGGGAAAGAUGAAAAGAACUUUGGAAAGAGAGUUAAACAGUACGUGAAAUUGCUGAAAGGGAAACGCUGGAAGUCAGUCGCGUUGGCUAGGAAUCAACCUUGCUCUUUUGCAGGGCUUACUUCUUAGUUGACGGGCCAACAUCAAUUUUGACCAUUGGAGAAAGGCUCAGGAAAUGUGGCACCUUCGGGUGUGUUAUAGUCCUGGGUUGUAUACAGUGGUUGGGAUUGAGGAACGCAGCACGCCGCAAGGUUGGGUUUCGACCACACCCGUGCUUCGGAUGUUGGCAUAAUGGCUUUCAUCGACCCGUCUUGAAACACGGACCAAGGAGUCUAACAUGCCUGCGAGUGUUUGAGUGGAAAACUCGAGCGCACAAUGAAAGUAAAAGUUGAGAUCUCUGUCAUGGAGAGCAUCGACGCCCGGACCUGAUGUUUACUGACGGUUCUGCGGUAGAGCAUGUAUGUUGGGACCCGAAAGAUGGUGAACUAUGCCUGAAUAGGGUGAAGCCAGAGGAAACUC
rnacentral:rRNA from 1 species